rnacentral:rRNA from 1 species
UAUUGGACAAUGGGGGAAACCCUGAUCCAGCCAUGCCGCGUGAGUGAUGAAGGCCUUACGGCUGUAAAGCUCUUUCAACGGUGAAGAUAAUGACGGUAACCGUAGAAGAAGCCCCGGCUAACUUCGUGCCAGCAGCCGCGGUAAUACGAAGGGGGCUAGCGUUGUUCGGAAUUACUGGGCGUAAAGAGCGUGUAGGUGGACAAACAAGUCAGAGGUGAAAGCCCAGGGCCUAACCUUGGAACUCCCUUUGAAACUGUUUGUCUAGAGACUUGGAGGGGGAAGCUGAAUUCCAAAUGUAGGGGUGAAAUCCGUAGAUAUUUGGAGGAACACCGGUGGCGAAGGCGGCUUCCUGACAAGUACGACACGAGACGCGAAAGCAUGCG